rnacentral:rRNA from 1 species
AUACGGAGGGUGCAAGCGUUAUUCGGAAUCACUGGGCGUAAAGGACGCGUAGGCGGGUUGGCAAGUCAGAUUUGAAAUCCUACAGCUUAACUGUAGAACUGCAUUUGAAACUGCUAACCUAGAGUAUGGGAGGGGGAGAUGGAAUUAGUGGUGUAGGGGUAAAAUCCGUAGAUAUCACUAGGAAUACCGAAAGCGAAGGCGAUCUCCUGGAACAUAACUGACGCUAAGGCGUGAAAGCGUGGGGAGCAAACAGGAUUAGAAACCCUAGUAGUCC